rnacentral:rRNA from 1 species
ACGGGGUGCAGCAGGCGCGAAAACUUUACAAUGCUGGCAACAGCGAUAAGGGGACCUCGAGUGCCAGGAUACAAUCCUGGCUGUCGUAAUGCCUAAAAAGCAUUGCAUAGCAAGGGCCGGGCAAGACCGGUGCCAGCCGCCGCGGUAAUACCGGCGGCUCGAGUGGUGGCCACUAUUACUGGGCUUAAAGCGUUCGUAGCUGGUUUGUUAAGUCUCUGGGGAAAUCUUCCGGCUUAACCGGAAGGCGUCUCAGGGAUACUGGCAGACUAGAGACCGGGAGAGGUGAGAGGUACUCCAGGGGUAGGAGUGAAAUCCUGUAAUCCUUGGGGGACCACCUGUGGCGAAGGCGUCUCACCAGAACGGCUCCGACAGCGAGGGACGAAAGCUGGGGGAGCAAACCGGAUUAGAUACCCGGGUAGUCCCAGCCGUAAACGAUGCGCGUUAGGUGUAUCGGUGACCACGAGUCACCGAGGUGCCGAAGAGAAAUCGUGAAACGUGCCGCCUGGGAAGUACGGUCGCAAGGCUGAAACUUAAAGGAAUUGGCGGGGGAGCA